UUUCACGCUGGCGGCAGGCCUCACCCCUGCCAGUCGCGCCGAUGAAGGGAGCUUGCUCCUGGAUUCAGCGGCGGACGGGUGAGUAAUGCCUAGGAAUCUGCCUGGUAGCGGGGGAUAACGUCCGGAAACGGGCGCUAAUACCGCAUACGUCCUGAGGGAGAAAGUGGGGGAUCUUCGGACCUCACGCUAUCAGAUGAGCCUAGGUCGGAUUAGCUAGUUGGUGGGGUAAAGGCCUACCAAGGCGACGAUCCGUAACUGGUCUGAGAGGAUGAUCAGUCACACUGGAACUGAGACACGGUCCAGACUCCUACGGGAGGCAGCAGUGGGGAAUAUUGGACAAUGGGCGAAAGCCUGAUCCAGCCAUGCCGCGUGUGUGAAGAAGGUCUUCGGAUUGUAAAGCACUUUAAGUUGGGAGGAAGGGCAGUAAGUUAAUACCUUGCUGUUUUGACGUUACCAACAGAAUAAGCACCGGCUAACUUCGUG
rnacentral:rRNA from 1 species